rnacentral:ncRNA from 2 species
CGAAUCGGCGCGGGAGAGUCGUCGUCCCGACGCACCGAAGGAGCAACCGCCCCGGCAAUCUCUCAGGUCCCGGUACCGCCCCGAUCAG